GAUAUAAAAGAGAGAGCCGGCUAACACCUAACCAUAGUCUGGUGGCGCCCAGUCCUACACACACACACACCAGGUUGCUCACUUCAUCCUACUGUUGUCGUCUCUCAACCGUGAGGAUAAUGGCUGGAUACCUGACCUGGCUGACUUGGGUGUUGCUGCUGGCUCUCUGCUACACGCCUACACCUGCUCACUCUGGGAGCUUCGGGUCAGCAGGUAUUGGUGGUGGUGGUGGUAAUGAGUUCACCCUGGACGGUAUUCAUGACGGCCCGUGGAUUGGCGAUGACGGAUACAUAGGAGGAAGUGACGCCGACUCAACAGGACCGGGUGUGAUACUAAGGACUCCGAUUCAACUAUUUAACUCUACAGGUACCAGGCUGAUACCAGUGAUAACAGGUCCUCCACUCAACUCAAGACCCCAAAAGUAAUAGACAUGACCAACAGUCCUGUAAUAAAAUAAUAAAUGUAAUAAAAUAAUGUAAUAAAAAAUUUCAAUAUA
rnacentral:misc_RNA from 1 species